AACGAACGCUGGCGGCAGGCCUAACACAUGCAAGUCGAACGUGAAGCUGGAGCUUGCUCCAGUGGAAAGUGGCAGACGGGUGAGUAACGCGUGGGAACUUACCCAGUGGUAUGGGAUAACUUCGGGAAACCGGAGCUAAUACCGUAUACGCCCUUCGGGGGAAAGAUUUAUCGCCAUUGGAUGAGCCCGCGUCGGAUUAGCUAGUUGGUGAGGUAAUGGCUCACCAAGGCGACGAUCCGUAGCUGGUCUGAGAGGAUGAUCAGCCACACUGGGACUGAGACACGGCCCAGACUCCUACGGGAGGCAGCAGUGGGGAAUAUUGGACAAUGGGGGAAACCCUGAUCCAGCCAUGCCGCGUGAGUGAAGAAGGCCCUAGGGUUGUAAAGCUCUUUCAGUCGUGAAGAUAAUGACGGUAACGACAGAAGAAGCCCCGGCUAACUCCGUG
rnacentral:rRNA from 1 species